GAUGAACGCUGGCGGCGUGCCUAAUACAUGCAAGUCGAGCGAACAGGCGAGGAGCUUGCUCCUCUGACGUUAGCGGCGGACGGGUGAGUAACACGUGGAUAACCUACCUAUAAGACUGGGAUAACUUCGGGAAACCGGAGCUAAUACCGGAUAAUAUAUUGAACCGCAUGGUUCAAUAGUGAAAGACGGUUUUGCUGUCACUUAUAGAUGGAUCCGCGCCGCAUUAGCUAGUUGGUAAGGUAACGGCUUACCAAGGCAACGAUGCGUAGCCGACCUGAGAGGGUGAUCGGACACACUGGAACUGAGACACGGUCCAGACUCCUACGGGAGGCAGCAGUAGGGAAUCUUCCGCAAUGGGCGAAAGCUUGACGGAGCAACGCCGCGUGAGUGAUGAAGGUCUUCGGAUCGUAAAACUCUGUUAUUAGGGAAGAACAAAUGUGUAAGUAACUAUGCACGUCUUGACGGUACCUAAUCAGAAAGCCACGGCUAACUACGUG
rnacentral:rRNA from 1 species